GAUGAACGCUGGCGGCGUGCCUAAUACAUGCAAGUCGAGCGAACAGACGAGGAGCUUGCUCCUCUGACGUUAGCGGCGGACGGGUGAGUAACACGUGGAUAACCUACCUAUAAGACUGGGAUAACUUCGGGAAACCGGAGCUAAUACCGGAUAAUAUAUUGAACCGCAUGGUUCAAUAGUGAAAGACGGUUUUGCUGUCACUUAUAGAUGGAUCCGCGCCGCAUUAGCUAGUUGGUAAGGUAACGGCUUACCAAGGCAACGAUGCGUAGCCGACCUGAGAGAGUGGGGAGACAGACGGGAAGUGAGAUGAGGGGAGGACGAAGACGGGGCGGAGCAGGGGGGGAUAUGGUGGAAGGGGCGAAAGACUGAAGGAGAAAUGAAGGGGGAAUGAUGAAGUGGGUAGGAACGGAAAACGUGGUUGAUAGGGAAGAAAAAAAGGGCAAGGAAAAGGGCACGGCGUGCAGGUAGCGAAAGAGAAAAACACGGCGAAUUAGGGG
rnacentral:rRNA from 1 species